GGCUCAGGACGAACGCUGGCGGCGUGCCUAACACAUGCAAGUCGAGCGAGGAGAUCCUUCGGGAUGAUCCUAGCGGCGGACGGGUGAGUAACACGUGGGCAACCUGCCUCAUAGAGAGGAAUAGCCUUCCGAAAGGGAGAUUAAUACCUCAUAACAUUGCAGUUUCGCAUGGAACAGCAAUUAAAGGAGCAAUCCGCUAUGAGAUGGGCCCGCGGCGCAUUAGCUAGUUGGUGAGGUAACGGCUCACCAAGGCGACGAUGCGUAGCCGACCUGAGAGGGUGAUCGGCCACAUUGGGACUGAGACACGGCCCAGACUCCUACGGGAGGCAGCAGUGGGGAAUAUUGCACAAUGGGGGAAACCCUGAUGCAGCAACGCCGCGUGAGUGAUGACGGCCUUCGGGUUGUAAAGCUCUGUCUUCAGGGACGAUAAUGACGGUACCUGAGGAGGAAGCCACGGCUAACUACGUGCCAGCCGCCGC
rnacentral:rRNA from 1 species